rnacentral:sRNA from 1 species
GGUUUUGAAAGCUCGGUAGCCAUAUUUACAAUGGUGGACAACUGAACUAUUUGAAAUACCAUUGUUGCUUAACCAGUAUCAUUGACGUGCUUAAAGAAGAUGGGGUAAAAUCCUCUAAGUAGACAAAUUAUGCAAUCAUCUUGUGUUCAAGUAUAGAUAUUGCUGCCUUAUGUUUGAAAACACUGCAUUUGAGAUGGUCAAUCUCAAGAAAAAUGUAGUCAACACCUUAAAAACCAACCAAUUUUAAAAUUCUUUAAUCGACAUGGUUAAAGACAGUGAGAAAGACAGACUUUCAGACACCACCUAUGCAAAGUGGUUGUUAGAUGCAUCAAUAAAGUUAAACAUCAGAAGCAGAGGCCAAAUUUUACAAGGAUAUGUAAUGCUGUGCGACAGUUUCAUCAAAAAGGUGUGGCCAGUGGACACCUGGUCAGGGAUGGACACUGUAUCAAGGUGGGAACAAAGGGUGGACGAGUCCACGGCCAGCUCCAGUAAUUCGGGCUCCUACGACGAAGACUCGGCCAGUGACCUGUCAUUUUGCUUUGAACAGAAAACAAAAUGUGCCAAACCUGUUCUGAUCUGCUGCUUUUGCCUUGGAGAUGAAACAAAAAGAACAGAGACGGUGUCCGAGGACCUGAUCUCGUGCGCGAGUGUGGUAACAGCGGCUGGUCAUGAAAAUGUCACUGGUAGAUACAGAAAUCGGGUAGAGAGGACAAUAUGUUGUUUUGUGACCUGUGCGACAGAGGCUUUCACAUGGAGUGCUGUGAUCCACCCCUUAGCAAAGCUCCAAAAGGUAAAUGGAAAUGCAACAUCUGUGACCCGACCGAGGGAAUGGGAAAGGGAGGCAUUUCUUGGAAAUGGCAGCAAAGUUAGCAAAGAAACAGAAACAAACAAAAGUCACCACAAAGACAAGAACGAUGCUGCCAAAUUAUUCUAUUUCUCAGCAAACCAAGUGCCCCACCCCGGUUGUGAUGGUACAGGAAAUGUGAACAGCAAGUCAGCCUACCACAGAACACAACUAGCAUGUCCCAAAUUGACAGCCCAACAGAGAAAAAUAUGCAGAAUACAGAAAAAAUACAGAAACAAUAAAAAUGGGGAUGUGUCCGAGUCUGAUGAAGAGACUGACAACUCGGACGAUGAGGAGGAAGAGGAGGAGGAGGUGGACCUGUCCUCGGGGCUGCCCCCGGGGGUCAGUGAUGAGGACCUUCUGCUAUUCAAACAGGCCCAGGAGAAGGCCCAGGAAGCUCUUCUGGAGUUGGAAUUUGAUUUACAGGAUGCAGCAGACAAAAUGGGGAGCCAGGUUGCUGCAGCCACGCCAGUACCCUCCCCGCAGUCCUGGGGGGCGGGCAGGUUUCCCCAUGUAUUGAAUUUGGGAAAUAUGAAAUUCAGACUUGGUAUUCCUCCCCAUACCCCAGGAGUACGCCAAAGCUGGGUAACUGGUUUCAGAUAUCCUGCUUAG